UACAGAGGGGGCAAGCGUUGUUCGGAAUUACUGGGCGUAAAGGGCGCGUAGGCGGCCCGCUAAGUCGAACGUGAAAUCCCCGAGCUCAACUCGGGAACUGCGUCCGAUACUGGUUGGCUUGAGUUCGGGAGAGGGAUGCGGAAUUCCAGGUGUAGCGGUGAAAUGCGUAGAUAUCUGGAGGAACACCGGUGGCGAAGGCGGCAUCCUGGACCGACACUGACACUGAGGAGCGAAAGCCAGGGGAGCAAACGGG
rnacentral:rRNA from 1 species